AACGCACAUUGCACCUUCUGGUAUUCUGGGAGGUAUGCCUGUUCGAGCGUCAUUGCAACCAUCAAGUCUAGGCUUGGUAUUGGAUGCCACCUCUUGGUGCAUCUCAAAAUUAGUGGCGGUGACAUUCAACUUCAAGCGUAGUAAAUUUCUCGCUUCUGGAGUUUGUGUUUGCCUGCUGGAACCCUUAAUUUAUCAAGGUUUGACCUCGGAUCAGGUAGGGAUACCCGCUGAACUUAA
rnacentral:misc_RNA from 1 species